UGGGAAGAGGCACUGAUCUGAACAGGUGACUGUUGGAGACAUGGGUAUCUGGAAUGGAGGGCCACCCUGCGAGUCAGAGUCUGAAGGCAAGAUAGCAGGUGAUGACCCCAGUGCAGUGGUGGGGAUUCAGUCAAGACCAUGCUGAGAGCAGCCACUCCUUACCUCUCUGUGACAUCAGUGACCUUCAUAUCCAGUGUGUGCUGGCUCUGGAACGGGGCAUCAUAUGAAAUGCCAUCCCUGUAGUCAGACAGUUGCAUGAUGGGAGUGCAAAAGCCAAGGAACGUUAAGAUGGAGGAGGAGGUCAUCCCAUCCAGAGCGAGGAAUCGGCCCCUCACAGCCACAGCCCGAUUUCCUCCAUAUCUCACUCGAAAGGACCUGGAUGUGCGCAUUUCACUGACAAACACAAUUUCUGCAGCAAUAAAAAGUCAUUGUGUAAAUUGUCAGCAUCUUCUCCUAGGAAGUGAGCAGCUGCUAGAUCGAUGGGACAAACUGCUUGAUCCGGGUCUACCUCUGGUGAGGAAACUACCCAAUAUACCACACUGACUUUGCAGUGGGGAAGCUUGGAGGGGAAGCCCUACCCAACCCUGGAGAAGUUACUCCUGGCAGCAAGAAACUGAAUCAGGAGUAAUCGUACCACAUAUCUCAGUGAUGUGCAGUCUAGAUGUACUGCCUCAGUCAGUACUCAUAUGGGAUGAACCCUGGGUAAGACAUGCUUCCUGUCCUCUCCCUCCUUAGGCAGGAUUGUAAACUAUGCAUUCUGCCUGACCUCCAUGUGAAAGCAGUUUAGAAUUGGCACUGACCCAGGGGAUCUUAUAGGAGUCUCUUGGGCAUUUCCCAGCGAUUUAUGGGAGUUUGAUCUCUCCUUCCAUAAUUCUCCAAGGCAACCAUGAAGUACCCCAACAAGACCUUUGAAAUCACCCACAAGGAACUGCUAGUGGGAGUUGUAUUGUGGGAUAAGUAGCCAGAAGGCAGUGCAGCUGAAAUGGUUUAGAGCAGCCCUGAUGUGGGUACACAGUGGAUGUGCAAGGAUUUUAAAAAUGAUUCAGCAUGGACACGGUAAGACACGUGGAUUCUGGUUCAAGAGUGGAUCUACCCCAGUAUUCUUGGCAGAUAAAAUGUACUCGGGCCACUGACGGGUACCUGCGACCUUCACUCCAGCAUCUCUAGGCCUGGGUGGCAAUUAUUUGGAUGAUUUAUCUGUUUAAAGACUGUCCUUCAGAAGGGGGUUUUCGCAUAGGUCACCAGAGCACAGGCUAGUGCAUGGACUAAUCCCCCACCACACAGCGCUAUGUACACUCCUGCCUUAAGCCCCAUGAAUAACCCAGCUGUCCCCCAUGCCAUGUAUAUCCUGAUUUGAGUCCUGCGUGUGCGUACCAGUGCCUGGUUGUUCCUGAGCGGAGUGGAGCUUCUCCUGCACAGCCUCGUGUGCUGAGCCAUCUAGUAGGUCGAAGAUUGAGUCUCCUUGGGCUAGCAGCUCCACCUGUUAGGAAGAGCAAAAAAGAGACUUUAUUAGUAUAGACACAGACUGGCUCACACUGGGCCUGGUGCCGCUGGGGUACUUAUUUAUGUAUCACAUAUCUAAUACCAUGGUCACAGCCAAGAUUAGAACUCUAGAGCUCCUGUCUCCCAGUCCUGUCCUUGGGCCACUAGACCAUGGGCACAGUGGUUUUGAAUGCCCUGUAAGAAGUGGACAGAGGAGCAGAGAUCUCAGCGGGAAGCUAUUUCAAGACUUCAUGUGAGAGAGGAUCAGAGCAUGGGCCAGACUUUCAGCAGCAGACAACGUCUCGUUAAUAAUGUUCUCUAGAGCAUAUGCUACGAAGCAA